CCGGUAAACGGCGGCCGUAACUAUAACGGUCCUAAGGUAGCGAAAUUCCUUGUCGGGUAAGUUCCGACCUGCACGAAUGGCGUAAUGAUGGCCAGGCUGUCUCCACCCGAGACUCAGUGAAAUUGAACUCGCUGUGAAGAUGCAGUGUACCCGCGGCAAGACGGAAAGACCCCGUGAACCUUUACUAUAGCUUGACACUGAACAUUGAGCCUUGAUGUGUAGGAUAGGUGGGAGGCUUUGAAGUGUGGACGCCAGUCUGCAUGGAGCCGACCUUGAAAUACCACCCUUUAAUGUUUGAUGUUCUAACGUUGACCCGUAAUCCGGGUUGCGGACAGUGUCUGGUGGGUAGUUUGACUGGGGCGGUCUCCUCCUAAAGAGUAACGGAGGAGCACGAAGGUUGGCUAAUCCUGGUCGGACAUCAGGAGGUUAGUGCAAUGGCAUAAGCCAGCUUGACUGCGAGCGUGACGGCGCGAGCAGGUGCGAAAGCAGGUCAUAGUGAUCCGGUGGUUCUGAAUGGAAGGGCCAUCGCUCAACGGAUAAAAGGUACUCCGGGGAUAACAGGCUGAUACCGCCCAAGAGUUCAUAUCGACGGCGGUGUUUGGCACCUCGAUGUCGGCUCAUCACAUCCUGGGGCUGAAGUAGGUCCCAAGGGUAUGGCUGUUCGCCAUUUAAAGUGGUACGCGAGCUGGGUUUAGAACGUCGUGAGACAGUUCGGUCCCUAUCUGCCGUGGGCGCUGGAGAACUGAGGGGG
rnacentral:rRNA from 1 species